AUACAGAGGGUGCGAGCGUUAAUCGGAAUUACUGGGCGUAAAGCGCGCGUAGGCGGCUGCUUAAGUCAGAUGUGAAAUCCCCGGGCUCAACCUGGGAACUGCAUCUGAUACUGGGUAGCUAGAGUUUAGGAGAGGGAAGUAGAAUUUCAGGUGUAGCGGUGAAAUGCAUAGAGAUCUGAAGGAAUACCAGUGGCGAAGGCGGCUUCCUGGCCUAAAACUGACGCUGAGGUGCGAAAGCGUGGGUAGCAAACGGGAUUAGAAACCCGAGUAGUCC
rnacentral:rRNA from 1 species